AUGAACGCUGGCGGCGUGCCUAAUACAUGCAAGUCGAGCGAACAGACGAGGAGCUUGCUCCUCUGACGUUAGCGGCGGACGGGUGAGUAACACGUGGAUAACCUACCUAUAAGACUGGGAUAACUUCGGGAAACCGGAGCUAAUACCGGAUAAUAUAUUGAACCGCAUGGUUCGAUAGUGAAAGACGGUUUUGCUGUCACUUAUAGAUGGAUCCGCGCCGCAUUAGCUAGUUGGUAAGGUAACGGCUUACCAAGGCAACGAUGCGUAGCCGACCUGAGAGGGUGAUCGGCCACACUGGAACUGAGACACGGUCCAGACUCCUACGGGAGGCAGCAGUAGGGAAUCUUCCGCAAUGGGCGAAAGCUUGACGGAGCAACGCCGCGUGAGUGAUGAAGGUCUUCGGAUCGUAAAACUCUGUUAUUAGGGAAGAACAAAUGUGUAAGUAACUAUGCACGUCUUGACGGUACCUAAUCAGAAAGCCACGGCUAACUACGUG
rnacentral:rRNA from 1 species